rnacentral:rRNA from 1 species
UAUNGGUCAAUGGGCGGGAGCCUGAACCAGCNAAGCCGCGUGAGGGAAUAAGGCCCUAUGGGUCGUAAACCUCUUUUGUCGGGGAACAAAAGCGGGGACGCGUCCAAGUCCGCGUGUACUCGAAGAAAAAGCACCGGCUAACUCCGUGCCAGCAGCCGCGGUAAUACGGAGGAUGCGAGCGUUAGCCGGAUUUAUUGGGUUUAAAGGGUGCGUAGGCGGUAUGGUAAGUCAGCGGUAAAAGCCCGGGGCUCAACCCCGGCGAGCCGUUGAAACUGCCGUGCUAGAGAGGAAGAGAAGUAGGCGGAAUGCGCAGUGUAGCGGUGAAAUGCUUAGAUAUUGCGCAGAACUCCGAUUGCGAAGGCAGCCUACCGGCUUCUGUCUGACGCUGAGGCACGAAAGCGUGGGUAUCG